CUCUUGUUACUGCGUCUUACCAGAAUUCAUUUUUUUCUUUGCAGGCUGGAGAUAUAAAGACUAAUUAUGUUCAUGGAGAUGGUGUCAGCAGUGAUAUAUGUCUGAAUCCCACCAGCUCAAUCCUGAUGGCUAAGAGCUCUUCAUCUCCCUCCCUUGAGGACAAUGACCAAUAUAUAUAUGUUCCAAAUGCAGGAAACCAAAGGCUGAUGAAAAAUGAAGAAAAUGCAGUUUUAGGACAUACUGUUUCAACUUCUGAUCCACGUGGAGCAGAUUCAUACCUUCCAUUAAAGACCCAGGGGUUUAUUAAGGAUCGGGGCCAACUUUAUGCUGACAUGAAAAGAAGAAGCACAAGUCUCAGUGAUCUUGAAGUAGAUGGCAGAAGUGGAGGUGUUUUGGACAGACCCUGUGUUCACUACCCUCCCCUUGCCUCUUCAGAGGCCAUGGAUUGUAGUGGAGAUGGAUUAGACUCACCUACCAGUCUGCAGCCCAAGGAAUCCGCAGUGUCUGGGGUUCGGUCACGCUCCUAUUCCUACUCCUCGCCCAAAGGUUUAUUAGGAAGACCUUGCAUUCCUCAGGACUUUGCAGCUGGGGAUUCGAAUGAAGGAUUCAGAAGGAGGACUGGUAUAAAUAUAUUGUACUCUCAAAAAAUAACUCUGAAAAAUGUAAAAUGA
rnacentral:lncRNA from 1 species